CUUUUGACAAGUUCGUCCAGAAGUAGGAGCGUUGUUGUUUACAUUUUGAGGUAACACCAUGUUUACUGAGUCUUAACACAGCCUGCUAUUAUCUUCCUUUCUUUCAAACUAAGAAGGAGGCUCUGAUUCCCGUUGUUAUUUAUGAAUACUCAAAGGGUGUUUCAAAGAUUAUUUACAUGGAAAUUAUGAACGAAUUUAUUUAGCAU